rnacentral:rRNA from 1 species
GACGAACGCUGGCGGCGUGCUUAACACAUGCAAGUCGAACGGAAAGGCCCUGCUUUUGUGGGGUGCUCAAGUGGCGAACGGGUGAGUAACACGUGAGUAACCUGCCCUUGACUUUGGGAUAACUUCAGGAAACUGGGGCUAAUACCGGAUAGGAGCUCCUGCUGCAUGGUGGGGGUUGGAAAGUUUCGGCGGUUGGGGAUGGACUCGCGGCUUAUCAGCUUGUUGGUGGGGUAGUGGCUUACCAAGGCUUUGACGGGUAGCCGGCCUGAGAGGGUGACCGGCCACAUUGGGACUGGGAUACGGCCCAGACUCCUACGGGAGGCAGCAGUGGGGAAUAUUGCACAAUGGGCGGAAGCCUGAUGCAGCAACGCCGCGUGCGGGAUGACGGCCUUCGGGUUGUAAACCGCUUUCGCCUGUGACGAAGCGUGAGUGACGGUAAUGGGUAAAGAAGCACCGGCUAACUACGUG